rnacentral:rRNA from 1 species
GAGUUUGAUCCUGGCUCAGAAUGAACGCUGGCGGCGUGCUUAACACAUGCAAGUCGAGCGAGAAAGUUCCUUCGGGAAUUAGUACAGCGGCAGACGGGUGAGUAAUACAUGGGAAUCUGCCUUUAAGUGAAGGAUACCUUUGAGAAAUCAAAGUUAAUACUGCAUAUCUCCUCCGGGAGAAAGAUGGCUUUUAUGCUGUCGCUUGAAGAUGAGCCCAUGCGCUAUUAGCUAGUUGGUGGGGUAAAGGCCUACCAAGGCGAUGAUGGCUAGCCGGCCUGAGAGGGUGAACGGCCACACUGGAACUGAGACACGGUCCAGACUCCUACGGGAGGCAGCAGUGAGGAAUAUUGCACAAUGGGCGAAAGCCUGAUGCAGCGACGCCGCGUGGAGGAUGAAGGUCUUAGGAUCGUAAACUCCUGUUAAGUGAGAAGAAAGUACUACCUUUAAUAGAGGUGGGAGAUGACGUUAUCACUAGAGAAAGCACCGGCUAACUUCGUGCCAGCAGCCGCGGUAAUACGAGGGGUGCAAGCGUUAUUCGGAAUGACUGGGCGUAAAGGGUGCGUAGACGGCACGUUAAGUCUUUUGUUAAAUACCUCAGCCUAACUGAGGAUCAGCAGGGGAAACUGGCGAGCUUGAGAUUGGAAGAGAGAAGUGGAAUUCUCGGAGUAGCGGUAAAAUGCGUAGAUCUCGAGAGGAACACCA